rnacentral:lncRNA from 1 species
UAACCAUACAAGUAAAGAGUUUCACAUACAAUUCACAUAAUUGCAAAUCAAUUCAAGUAGCCUUUAAUGGAUAUUCAAGGAACACAAUAUAAAUCAUGGAUACAAAUGGAAUAUCAUCAUCUCUAUGAUUGCCUCUAGGGCAUACCUCCAACACUACAGCACGCUCCAAUCUUCCACCCAAUCACGGUGCCGCAAGAUCAACAGCACAUGCCGAUAACUCAGCCGAUCGCACAUCAGCAGCAGCAGGUGGAUUGGACCGCGAAAAUAGCUGAUAUAAUACAAGAUCAGUUCGGAUUGAAACCAAAAGUGCAGACCUACACAUACAGGACGCCGUACCCACCC